UGGUCUUAUUCAGAUCUCUCCGUAGGGCAGUCAGACUUGGGUCGAAUAUAAAAACAUUCAAUAAAUUGUGCAUGUUGUCAAGAUAUAUGAACUUGAAAAUGAAGGAAAAGGUAUUUGGACCCAAAACGCUCUAAGCUAGUUGGAGUGUUUCUGACGGGCCUGAGAGUUUGGACAAGACAAAUUCUCCAGAGGUCAAGCAAGGCAGAUCAAAUGAUGGAUUCAUCUGCCUGAAGGCUGCUGCAUUUCAUACUCUUUAAAGUGUGAAAUACUCUUUACUAACAGUGUUCAGCAGACGGUGUAAUGCUGAAGAUGUUAAUUGGCAGCAAGUAGUUUUGCAUCGAACCACUUCAGAAAUGUAUAUAACAGACAUGAGGCUUUUUUUUAAUUAGUUACACCAUGAAUGGUUUGUAUUAUGGGAUGUAUUACGGGAUGCAUGGGUACACAACAAGAAGAGACUAAAUACAAACUGCACUGUUUUUGAAGUUUCAGACAUUUUACCAGUAAACGUUCCCAACUAUUUAACAGCCAGAUUUACACCAUGUUUACAUGUUUAGAUUGCAACCAGCAUCUCUUCAGUAUGAUCAGUAUUUGACUUUCAUUAGAAAUGCAAAUCUUCCCCUUAGUAACAACUAUUUUUUUACAGCACUUUGUUUGUGCCAAAUGUGAGAAACCUUUCCUCGGUCACCGCCAUUAUGAGAGAAAAGGUUUGGCUUACUGUGAGACGCAUUACAAUCAGCUCUUUGGGGACGUGUGUUAUCACUGCAACCGUGUGAUUGAAGGCGAUGUUGUGUCUGCUCUCAACAAAGCCUGGUGUGUCACUUGUUUCUCCUGCUCCACCUGCAACACCAAGCUCACUCUCAAGUAAGUCUUAAUAUGUUAAUUGAUGCAAACCAUAAAAUCUAGUCACAUGCAACUCUUCCACCUCAUGUUUGUUGUGCUCUUACUUUUCUUUAACACUUUUCACGUGCCUUAAAACAAGAAGAGUUUUCAUGGGAAUGGCUUCUAUAUUACAACUUGCAUCUUCACUCAGAAUAGUGUCCGUGUUUGAAGCUCAAAUCCUUUGAGCUUUAAUGCCUCUGUAUUAUUCAAUUGACUAAUUGUAAUUUUUAGAAACAUCUUCAAGUCUUCAAAGUAUUGCAUAAAAUUGGUAUCAUUAAUGAAUAUAACAAAUCAAAUUGGGAAAUUAACAGUGGUGUAAAAUUCAUGGGUUUUGUGUUAUAUUUCAAAAUCUAAUAAUGUAUGCUGUCUGAAUGUGGUUAUGUAUUGUAAAUGCCUAGAAUUGUUGAAUAUUUCUGUAUUAAUUAACAUAA